rnacentral:rRNA from 1 species
UACGUAGGGGGCAAGCGUUGUCCGGAUUUAUUAGGCGUAAAGAGCGUGUAGGCGGUUCGGUAGGUCCGUUGUGAAAACUCGAGGCUCAACCUCGAGACGCCGAUGGAAACCCCCGAACUAGAGUCCGGAAGAGGAGAAUGGAAUUCCUGGUGUAGCGGUGAAAUGCGCAGAUAUCAGGAAGAACACCCGUGGCUAAGGCGGUUCUCUAGUACGGUACUGACGCUGAGACGCGAAAGCGUGGGGAGCGAACAGG